UACGUAGGUGGCAAGCGUUAUCCGGAAUUAUUGGGCGUAAAGAGCGCGCAGGUGGUUGAUUAAGUCUGAUGUGAAAGCCAACGGCUUAACCGUGGAGGGUCAUUGGAAACUGGUCGACUUGAGUGCAGAAGAGGGAAGUGGAAUUCCAUGUGUAGCGGUGAAAUGCGUAGAGAUAUGGAGGAACACCAGUGGCGAAGGCGGCUUCCUGGUCUGUAACUGACACUGAGGCGCGAAAGCGUGGGGAGCAAACAGGAUUAGA
rnacentral:rRNA from 1 species